rnacentral:rRNA from 1 species
CGAACGAAGAGUGAUUUAGUUUACUAAAGAUCUCUUAGUGGCGGACGGGUUAGUAACGCGUGAGCAACUUGCCUCAAAGAGGGGGAUAGUCCUGGGAAACUGGGUUUAAUACCGCAGAUGACCUACGGGUUAAAGAGGGCUUCGGCUCUUGCUUUGAGAUAGGCUCGCGUCCUAUCAGCUAGUUGGUGAGGUAAAGGCUCACCAAGGCGACGACCGGUAGUUGGUCUGAGAGGACGAUCAGCAACACUGGAACUGAGACACGGUCCAGACACCUACSGGUGGCAGCAGUCGAGAAUCAUUCACAAUGGACGAAAGUCUGAUGGUGCAACGCCGCGUGGAGGAUGAAGGCCCUAGGGUCGUAAACUCCUGUCAUAUGAGAGUAAGGCAUAUUAGUUAAUAGCUAGUAUGUUUGAUAGUAUCAUAAGAGGAAGGGACGGCUAACUUCGUGCCAGCAGCCGCGGUAAUACGAAGGUCCCGAGCGUUAUUCGGAAUCACUGGGCGUAAAGGGAGCGUAGGCUGCGCGGUAAGUCAGAUGUGAAAUCUCAGGGCUCAACUCUGAAACUGCAUCCGAUACUGCCGCGCUAGAGUAAUGGAGGGGUAACUGGAAUUCUCAGUGUAGCAGUGAAAUGCGUAGAUAUUGAGAGGAAGACCAAGGGCGAAGGCAGGUUACUGGACAUUUACUGACGCUGAGGCUCGAAGGCUAGGGUAGCGAAAGGGAUUAGAUACCCCUGUAGUCCUAGCAGUAAACGAUGUGCGCUUGGUGUAGGUGGGUUCGACCCCAUCUGUGCCGGAGCUAACGCGUUAAGCGCACCGCCUGGGGAGUACGGUCGCAAGACUAAAACUCAAAGAAAUUGACGGGGACCCGCACAAGCGGUGGAGUAUGUGGCUUAAUUCGAUGCAACGCGAAGAACCUUACCUAGGCUUGACAUGUAUUGCUAAGCAGUUGAAAGGCUGUGACCCUUCGGGGACCUUACACAGGUGCUGCAUGGCCGUCGUCAGCUCGUGUCGUGA